GGAGGGGCGGGGCGGGGGCGCACCUGUUUGGCCAAUCGACCCCGCUACUACCACCCGCCCCGGCCGGACUGGGCAGGGCCGAUCCCCUCCGCUCUCCGCACACCAGUCCCCAGUCCCCACUUUGGCCCGGGAUCGAGGCCGGGCCACACGCCCCCUGCCAUCCCACACCACCUCGCACCCGCGAUCUGGGUCUGGCCACACCCCCUACUCCCCUCCCCCGGCUCAGGCUAGCCUGUGGAGGCCCUCUGUGUGGCCGGUGUUCCCGGGAAUUAAUCCCAGCUUUAGCCCGAGAACCAUGCGGAUAUCAGACUGAGGAGUGGGCUGCAACCCACCCCUCUUUUACUCUUCACCCUCCUCUCCCGCAAGGAUCUUCGCGCCUCGGUUGACCCCUUAAACUGCUGUGCGCCUCCCUUCGAUCUCCACCCGCAGUGGCCGUGGACUGAUGCUAGGUUCAGAGGUCCGGGAGAGGCGGGGUGGGGUCGGGGUAGGGAGGGGGUUGUGUCAAUGGGAAGGGACGUCCAACCCUCCCACCAACAAAUUCUCAACCCCAGCAGAGUUGGGGCGAACAUCUCCAGAAUGUGCUUGCGAUUAGUUUCAGCAGGUUCCCCAACUUCCUUCGGGGUCACAGUCAAAUUUAAAGCGGGACGGUUUUAUUGUCCCAUUCUCCAGAUAGGAAGACUGAGGCCAAAGGGAGGGAAGAACUUUUCGUACGUGGUGACGAGACUGCGACUUUUUUCAAAUCAAAGGAUCCACCCACACAGAAGCCUCAGAGAAGGUUCUAGUGGGUACUGCUCCAGAGCACGGGCUCUGCGUGGGACAAACCCACAGGACUCUCAGCUCUGCCACUCACUCGCUGUGUGAUUCUGGGGCCCCCAGCUGGAGCUGAAGUCCUUUGGCGGUUACCAUCAGAAGAAACUGAAGGUUCUGAGCUGUCUGUUCCACCCCCAGGGUUGCCAGAGCAACCAGCCCCUUCCUGAGCUUUUAUCCUGACCGUCUGUCUGAGCCCAGCUCCCUCACCCAUGAAUCAUAAAGUCCCCCCAACAGGUG
rnacentral:lncRNA from 1 species